rnacentral:rRNA from 1 species
UACGUAGGGGGCUAGCGUUGUCCGGAAUCACUGGGCGUAAAGGGCGCGUAGGCGGCCUGAUAAGUAGGGGGUGAAAUCCUGCGGCUUAACCGCAGGGCUGCCUUCUAAACUGUCAGGCUUGAGCACAGUAGAGGCAGGUGGAAUUCCCGGUGUAGCGGUGGAAUGCAUAGAGAUCGGGAAGAACAUCAGUGGCGAAGGCGGCCUGCUGGGCUGUUGCUGACGCUGAGGCGCGACAGCGUGGGGAGCAAACAGG